rnacentral:rRNA from 1 species
CCAGCAGCUGCGGUAAUUCCAGCUCCAAUAGCGUAUAUUUAAGUUGUUGCAGUUAAAAAGCUCGUAGUUGGAUUUCGGGUGGGACCCGGCGGUCCGCCUCCCGGUGUGCACUGCCGUGGCUCGCCUUUCUGUCGGGGACGGGCUCCUGGGCUUCACUGUCCGGGACCCGGGUUCGACAUGGUUACUUUGAGUAAAUUAGAGUGUUCAAAGCAGGCGUUCGCCCUGAAUACAUUAGCAUGGAAUAGCACGAUAGGACUCUGGCCUAUUCUGCUGGUCUGUAGGACCGGAGUAAUGAUUAAGAGGGACAGUCGGGGGCAUUCGUAUUUCAUUGUCAGAGGUGAAAUUCUUGGAUUUAUGAAAGACGAACUUCUGCGAAAGCAUUUGCCAAGGAUGUUUUCAUU